rnacentral:rRNA from 1 species
AAACCAACAGGGAUUACCUCAGUAACGGCGAGUGAAGCGGUAACAGCUCAAAUUUGAAAUCUGGCUCUUGGGCCCGAGUUGUAAUUUGUAGAAGAUGCUUUGGGUGUGGCUCCGGUCUAAGUUCCUUGGAACAGGACGUCAUAGAGGGUGAGAAUCCCGUACGUGACUGGUCGCCUUCGCCCGUGUAAAGCUCUUUCGACGAGUCGAGUUGUUUGGGAAUGCAGCUCAAAAUGGGUGGUAUAUUUCAUCUAAAGCUAAAUAUUGGCCAGAGACCGAUAGCGCACAAGUAGAGUGAUCGAAAGAUGAAAAGCACUUUGGAAAGAGAGUUAAACAGUACGUGAAAUUGUUGAAAGGGAAGCGCUUGCAACCAGACUUGCAGGCUGUUGAUCAUCCGGGGUUCUCCCCGGUGCACUCGGCAGCUUUCAGGCCAGCAUCGGUUUGGGUGGUGGGAUAAAGGCCUUGGGAAUGUGGCUCUCUUCGGGGAGUGUUAUAGCCCAAGGUGCAAUGCCGCCUACCUGGACCGAGGACCGCGCUUCGGCUAGGAUGCUGGCGUAAUGGUUGUAAGCGAC